GGCCACAGCUAUAUCACCCCGCAGCCCAAGACUGGUUGCCCACUGAAGCUAAGAAGGGUUGAGCCUGGUCAGUACCUGGAUGGGAGACCUCCUGGGAAAACUAGGUUGCUGUUGGAA
rnacentral:rRNA from 1 species